CUGGGAUAAGAGAGAAGACAUUACAUUUAACACUGACUUGUCAAGUACUGUACCACUUCUGGAUAUGAUUUAUUGCUGAGGAAAUAUGACUGACACCGUAGAAAAAGAGAAGCAAAAUGAAGCACAUGGGAACAAGCAGAAUUGAUAAAUUAAUUAUCAUGUGAGCAAGUACAAUUAACCUGAACUUCACCUUCUUACUGUUGUGGCUAUCUGGAUUAUCCUUUUAAUUACUUGCUUUUCAGAGAGAUCAUCCUCUAUAGAGUGGGGAGGAAAGGUUGUUCAAUAAGAAAGCAAAGAUAAAAAUCAGUUCAAUCCUCUGUACAUACUAUAGGCAAUUAAUUUUAUAAAUGCAUGAAGUCAAUGUUGUCUAACUUUAUUAAAAUUGGUACUGUAUAAUCUAAUUACCAUGCAUGAAAAA